UUUUUAUGGAGAGUUUGAUCCUGGCUCAGGAUGAACGCUGGCGGCGUGCCUAAUACAUGCAAGUCGAGCGAACAGACGAGGAGCUUGCUCCUCUGACGUUAGCGGCGGACGGGUGAGUAACACGUGGAUAACCUACCUAUAAGACUGGGAUAACUUCGGGAAACCGGAGCUAAUACCGGAUAAUAUAUUGAACCGCAUGGUUCAAUAGUGAAAGACGGUUUUGCUGUCACUUAUAGAUGGAUCCGCGCCGCAUUAGCUAGUUGGUAAGGUAACGGCUUACCAAGGCAACGAUGCGUAGCCGACCUGAGAGGGUGAUCGGCCACACUGGAACUGAGACACGGUCCAGACUCCUACGGGAGGCAGCAGUAGGGAAUCUUCCGCAAUGGGCGAAAGCCUGACGGAGCAACG
rnacentral:rRNA from 1 species